AUUGAACGCUGGCGGCAGGCCUAACACAUGCAAGUCGAGCGGAUGAGAGAAGCUUGCUUCUCGAUUCAGCGGCGGACGGGUGAGUAAUGCCUAGGAAUCUGCCUAGUAGUGGGGGACAACGUUUCGAAAGGAACGCUAAUACCGCAUACGUCCUACGGGAGAAAGUGGGGGAUCUUCGGACCUCACGCUAUUAGAUGAGCCUAGGUCGGAUUAGCUAGUUGGUAGGGUAAAGGCCUACCAAGGCGACGAUCCGUAACUGGUCUGAGAGGAUGAUCAGUCACACUGGAACUGAGACACGGUCCAGACUCCUACGGGAGGCAGCAGUGGGGAAUAUUGGACAAUGGGCGAAAGCCUGAUCCAGCCAUGCCGCGUGUGUGAAGAAGGCCUUCGGGUCGUAAAGCACUUUAAGUUGGGAGGAAGGGCUCAUAGCGAAUACCUGUGAGUUUUGACGUUACCAACAGAAUAAGCACCGGCUAACUUCGUGCCAGCCGCCGCAGUAAAAC
rnacentral:rRNA from 1 species